rnacentral:lncRNA from 10 species
CCUUGUGGUGCCAGGCAGGAAUGGCUGCUUGGGGACCCACUGAGCUCCCAGACCUUUCUGCUGUAUCCUCUACCCCUGUAUUUCACUUGGCUCUCUAAAUUGACUCAGCUCCAAGUAAGGUCGGAAACUUCUCCCACAAACAGACCUUCAGUUUCUCCAGCGGGGGGCGCAGGAGGUUGCAGCCAGGCUAACAGAAACCCAGCCCUGCCCACUGGGUGAAACUGCAAGUCGAGAGCGUGGGAAACCAGCAAGUUGAGAGAGGAUCCAGAAGUAACCCCUUCUAAAACGGGAAAGAUGCCUUCCGAAAGCACUUGGCCCUAAAGAGAAAACACUAGGAGGAUGGGAACCAGGGACAGAGAAGCUACUUGCUCUGCAGCUGUUUGGGCCAAUGAUCCAAUGGCCCCAUCUAGACUGGAGACACCAACUCAUGACUCAGCUGGCCUUGUGGCCCACACCCAGAAGUGGACUCAGUGCAUGAGGACUAUUUUCCACACUCCUAUGAUAGCAUCCCCAACCAAUCAGCAGGACCAUUUCCUAGCCCCUUGCCCACCAAACUAUCUUUUAAAAAACCUGGCUGGGCGCAGUGGCUCACACCUGCAAUCCCAGCACUUUGGGAGUCUGAGGUGGGUGGAUCACGAGAUGUGACUUGCUCCUCCUUGUUUUCCAACAUGAUUGUGAGGCCUCCCCAGCCACGUGGAACUGUAAGUCCAUUAAACCUCUUUCUUUUAUAAAUUGCCCAGUCCAGGUAUGCCUUUAUCAGCAGCAUGAAAACCAACUAAUACACUGACCUUCCCCUAAAGUAGGUUAUAUGACCCUCAUCUGACAGAUGCCCUCCUUAGACCUACAGGGAAGGAAAAAGCAUCCUUAUCUCUGAAAAUGGAGGAACACAGAGAAAAAUUCAAACAAACAGGCCUCGUUAAGUCCCUGCCCCAUUUAUUACCAUUAGAUAAUAUUCUUUGUCCUAUCAUAUUUCUCCAUGACUGUUCAUUCUUCAUCAAACCUAGAAUAAAAACACUCAAAUGUACCUGUUUCUUUGGUCUUCAUUUCCUUAUGAAGGCUCUCAUGUCACGUAAAACUUAUUUGAAAUAAACCUGUAUGGUUUUCUGAUUAAGCUGCUUUUUGUUACAGGCCAUAAACCUAGGAUAGGUAGAGAAAAGGAUAUUUUUCCUCCCCUACAUUGAUCCAGAUGCAAUCACCACCAUUAGCAGUGCUUGCUUGACUUUGACUGCUCAAGAAAAGUUAGUGGAUUUGCACCCACUCACCCACUCCCAUCCCCAUUUCUAUGAAACACAUGAUUUAGCAUUGUGCUAGAAGAGCAGAGAUUUGAGCUCUUCUUAGAGGCCGCUCUAGCAUGCUGCUUCUUCUGAGAGAUAGCAAGUAAGACCCUCAUGGCCAUGCAUCCAAGGUUUGCUGCCUUGAGGGCCACUGCUUUUUACCUUUACAUUGCUGCCUUACUAAGUCCCAGCAGUCCAGGAAAAUUUCCUGGAUUCAGACGUUCCGAUUAUUCUGAAAAUUUAUUUUUCCUGCCCUCCACUCACAGAACUGCUUAGACAGAGUGACUAUAUACCAUUGACUGUAAAUUCAUGAUCAAUUAAAGAAAAUAACUUCUCUAAUCCAAGUCCAAAGGCUGAUAACAGAGGCCCAGGGACUCCUGAGCUAUCAGAGGGAGGCACUAGGCUAGUCUCCCAGUGAAAUCAAGCAAAGAGAGAAAUCAUUAGAGGAGCCAUGUUUAUUGUUUGAAUUUUAUGAAUACAUAGAAUUCUAUGAAUCAAAAAAGGGAAGUUCACAUUGGUUCUGUGCAGCAUGUGAUAAACCACAGCAUUGCUAUCUACAUUUUUUUUCUUUCUUUAUGAUCAGUAGCCUCUCAAUAAAGUGGAUAUUUUGAGUGUUGCAGUACCAGAUACAGACAUAGGUUGUAAAGAAGAAGAGUUUUUCCACUUGUUAAAGAGAUAGGAGUAAAGCAGCAAAAGUCUGGAACAUUUCUGGGGGUAUAUUGCUUAUCAGAGUGUUCAGUUAUUCUAAGGCCAACUUCAUUUUCUAUGGUUUUUCUUAAGAAAACAUUUGUGAAAAUAUCCAAUUAUGAGUACAAACUACCUCCCAUGAAUUAUCUGUGAUGUCUAUACUGAUUCCCCAUGGAUGUUUAUAUAGCCAGAUGUUUGAAAUCUUGGGCACCAUCUCCUCUGACAUAAACAAUUUUCUGUGAAACCUUCCAUGUUAACCAGUGGUACCUGAUUCUCAAAUCUGAUGUAAAUCUAGCAUAUACUCUUCUCCCACACAAUGUCUUUGACUGUAACUGUUUUGCUAUUAUACUGAAAGUACACACUCUUUUCUCCUAACCAUGGGCCCCAAUUCCCACAAGAUGAGGACAAACUACAGAGUAGCAGAGGGAAAAGACCAUUGCUUUUCCUCUUUGAAGACUUUCUAUGAAAUUUCAUCUUUCUGCUCUGCGGAUGGCGUUUUAUGUUGGGAAAAUAGUAGAACUCAUAAUUUGGUCUCCUGGACUUAAUUUCUAAUUACUUCAUAUUGGUGACUUUUUUUUAACCUCAAAGAGGAAAACGGCAAGCCCUAAAUGCCUGUUUUUCUCCUUUUUUGGCCCAAGUGGGUAACUGAGGCUCAGUUUACAUACAUCAAAUUACCAAAAUGCUGUCUUGUAUAUAGUUUUGAAAGAUAGAGAUGGGUUUGUAAUGUUUUUCAGACCUGAUUCAGAGCUCAAUUUAGUUUUUCUUUUGGUAUUCAGGCUAUUAUAUUCGUCAUAAAAACAGGCACUGUGUGUGCCUUAGUAAAUAAUUUAUAACUUUCCCCAUAACUCAGGGGAACCCACCAUAGUCUGACUGUCUGCCUUUUACCUUCUCAUCUCUAUACCUCCAGGUCUCUAGUGAUCAUAAAAGUGAUCGAAGCCCUGAUCUGAUUUUUAUCACAAAGCCAUUCUUCUUUGUGGGUACUUUGGUUCUGGAGACAGAGAAUCAUGAGAUCAGAUAAAGCCAUGUGGAGGGCUGAAAGUUGGCUGGAAUGGCGCUUGGGGCCCAGUUUAUGCUGUUGGAGCAUUUCCUGUGUGCCCUUUGAAACCUCUGAACUCAGCUCUUCAAAGUGAGAGCUUUGUCUUUCCGCUGAACACAUAUAUUUGCUACUUAUUAUCUUUCUCUUGCCAUCUCCACCCUUACUUGACUCAGCCAACAUCGAUAUAUCAAAGCAAAAGCAUUGCUCUGACUGAGUCAUAAGUUAUACUUUUACCUGACAUUAUCUGGCUGUGUAGAAAUGAAAGCAUAAAAAUAAUGGAGGUUUUGUGUACAGGUCUACACACACACACACACACACACACACACACACACACACACACACACACACACGUCUUCUUCUUUGCUUCACUUAUCAUGCUCUCACUACUUCCACUGUUUCUCUCCCCAACUCCUGCCCACUCCCACUCAUAGCAGUUUAUUAAAGAAGUAUGUUUUCUCAUGAGCCAAUUGGGUAAUUUUUCAAGUUGAACCCCAUUAACAUUAUAAAUGCCGUUAUAAAUGCUUGUUUUUCAAAAAUUUGUCUUUCCAAAACUUUGUUCUGGGUCAGAAAAUUUAUUUCUCUUUAGAGAGCCAGUGUUGCAUGAGGAAAUUGAAGCUGAUCUCUGGGUGUGUGUUUGUGCUAAUUUGCUGUACAAUCAAAUACAGAUAUAGGUUAAUAAAUGCUGUUCUUUGAUCUGUUGCUACAAAGGAUUCAUUGUAAAUACAUUACUAGAUAAGUAAGUUAGAACUUUGUAACUGUCUCUUGCAAACGGUGCCCCAUGCCACCCAUUAGCAUGUGCAAGAAGUGAUACAUUUGGCUUCAGCCUGCCUGGGUUUUACUUUGCUGAUUUGUUUAUUUUUAAAAUAGUUACCCAUAGUAUACUUCCAUUUGGGGUGUCCUCAUAGAAGGAUAGCACUCAGGCAGAGAAAUAGCCCAAAAAAACAAUAACAGCACCAAAAACUUGGUAGCAAGAAUUUAAUAAAACCAAGGGAGGCCAAUGUUUCUAUAGGUAACCAUUUAACAUUUGUCAUUAUGUGUCUAGCUCUAGCCAAGGCAUUGCAAAGAAUGCAAAAAGACAUGAUCAAAGGCCUCAAGAUGUUUACAGUCCUGUUAGGGGAUGAAGGUAUUGGAGUGAAUCACAUUCACUAAAAUGGGAAUAAAGACUUCUACCUUAAAAUCAUGGUGUUUUUCAGGGAAUCAGAACUAAUAUGAUAUGACUGGAGUUAAUAUGUUAUUGUGGGGGAUGGGGAGGAGUAGACUAUUGGUAGUUGUGGCUACAAAUUUGGCAGGAUUCAAAUAUUGAAAGGGAUUUGUAUGUCAAGCUAAAGAAUUAUAAUUUUUCUCUAUAGACAAUGGGGGAAUUAACCACCGAAGAAUUUUGAGUUGGUGAAUGACAUAAAAAGAUUUGUAUUUUAGAAAAAUAACUGGCAUGUUGCGGGGUGUGAAAUGAAGUAAAAGAAGUCUUCAGUUGUGAAGUUACAUGUCCAUUGAGUCUAGCAGAUACCAAACAAUCACAUCAAAAUCCUGAAAUAAUAAUAAAUAAAGAAUUCUACCUUGUCUGUCUCAGUGAUUGUACGUGGAG